rnacentral:rRNA from 1 species
UGGGGAAUAUUGCACAAUGGGCGCAAGCCUGAUGCAGCCAUGCCGCGUGUGUGAAGAAGGCCUUCGGGUUGUAAAGCACUUUCAGCGAGGAGGAAGGUGGUGAACUUAAUACGUUCAUCAAUUGACGUUACUCGCAGAAGAAGCACCGGCUAACUCCGUGCCAGCAGCCGCGGUAAUACGGAGGGUGCAAGCGUUAAUCGGAAUUACUGGGCGUAAAGCGCACGCAGGCGGUUUUGUUAAGUCAGAUGUGAAAUCCCCGGGCUCAACCUGGGAACUGCAUUUGAAACUGGCAAGCUAGAGUCUCGUAGAGGGGGGUAGAAUUCCAGGUGUAGCGGUGAAAUGCGUAGAGAUCUGGAGGAAUACCGGUGGCGAAGGCGGCCCCCUGGACGAAGACUGACGCUCAGGUGCGAAAGCGUGGGGAGCAAACAGAUUAGAUACCCUGGUAGUCCACGCUGUAAACGAUGUCGAUUUUGGAGGUUGUGCCCUUGAGGCGUGCUUCCGGAGCUAACGCGUUAAA